GCCAGUGUGGUUUAGUGAUUAGAGCACUGGACUACAACUCUGGAGACCAGGGUUCAAAUCCCGACUCAGCCA